AUCUACCUCAUAAAAGGUAGUGAAAGUGCUCUGAACUCCUGUCUGAUUUCCGAGAGAUACAGAAAAGAAUAAAUGGACCAUCUGGGAGAAGGAGAAUGAAGAAGCACCGUGCCCUGUCAGGCAUUGGUGGGGACAAUCAUGGUGGGGAGAUUCAAGGGGGUGUGAAACCCCUAUUUAAAGCAUUGAAGAUCACCAAGAGAGAAAGCAAGGGCUGCAGCUCUUAAAGCCUGGAACAGUAUGUGGGGAAUCUCAGAUGUCUUUCUUGGAAGUUCCAUUGCCCUGCUGUGUGACCUUCAUCAAGCCCUUGGCCUCUGCAUCUCCAGCCAGUACAUGGUACUAAAAGGAUACUUACCUCGUUCAUGGAAUCACUGAAGAACUAAUGUAUUCAUUGUUGCUACAACUGCAACUCUUUUUACUCUUCCUUUUUGUACCCAAGGAGGGGCUGUGUGACAGGCACAUUUUAAAAGAUAAGCCAAUAACCAAUGCCUAUCUCUACUUCUGAAAAUGUUAUCUUUAGCACAAAAUAUUACUGUCAAUGUUGA